AUGGAGAAGCAGGAGAGAGGACCCAUGAAGUCCAGUGACUAUCUCCCCCCACCCACCAACUUGCAAUACCGCUUUAAAAGGGGGGAGGAGUCACAGUCUGUGGCUGGAACUGCAAAUGAGAAGGCCACACGCAUCUUCCAAGGCACCGCUCAGCUGAAGCUUGGACCUCCUGGAUGCCAGGCGUGCAAGGUCUGUUCUCACCUCGAGCAGGGUUUGAGCAAAUGGAUCUUUCUGUGCUGGCUUCCUGCCAGAUCCUUUUCCACCUCUUUAUUCCUCGUUCUCUGUCGUCCUUGCCUAAGAAACCACCAUCUGGCCACAGAGCCGCCUAAGGAAGGGAUUGGUGCAUCGAGACGGCUGUCACGAGCAUCCUAUCAGCCCGCCUUCAAGGAGGCAGAAAGCUCUUCUCUGUGGACAGGAAAUUCAGUCUCAGCGCUACAUGCAGGGUGGCAUAGCUCCUCACUCUGGAAUGAGGGUCACAGGUGA
rnacentral:lncRNA from 1 species